rnacentral:ncRNA from 2 species
GAAUAAUUUUGUAACAUAGGUGCCUAAAUAGGUUAAAAGGGAAGACCAGUUAAAAUCUGGCGCAGCCCCCGCUACUGUAAGCACUGACAAAAUCUUUGAUAUCCACUGGCUAUUAAGCUGGGAAGGAAAGAAAGUAGGAUGAAGUGUAAGCCAGGAAACCUGCCUAUGAUACAUUUUUGUU